AAGUCGUAACAAGGUUUCCGUAGGUGAACCUGCGGAAGGAUCAUUAACACGUAUCCAAACGUUAAACCCCCCUGUGAACCUUCACCUGUACUCGUACGUCCGUUAGAAAAAGCAGCAAUCCCUGGUAAAUCAUCGCCGAACAGUUUUCGAUUCAGGGAUGUCUGCAAGGAGCGUGCAUGUUGUGCGAGCAAGUGGCCUGGCAUCCCCAAGCAGUUAGUGUCUGAAAGUGUCAUUAACUGUGUAAGGAUGACGCAGUCACGAUCGUUGGAGGACCACACGGCCGACGACCGGGUCACUGGGCGCAAGCCCCCCUAUAACAAACGCUGCUAAUCGCGGCCGCGAUAAUACGCAGUCGACCAAAAACCGAACAACUGUUAACAAUGGAUAUCUUGGUUCUC
rnacentral:misc_RNA from 1 species